rnacentral:tRNA from 2 species
GCUUCCUUAGCUCAGUUGGUAGAGCGUCUCACUCGUAAUGAGAAGGUCGCCAGUUCGAUUCUGGCAGGAAGCUCAA